CAGGUGUGAUGGUCUCAGGAGUUCCAUGGGGGGCAGCAGGUGGAGAGGUGAGUGACACAGAAACUGUGGUUUCCCAGGGAAGUCUGAGCAUCAUGGGCACAGGGGACCCUGACGUCACAGGAGUGGGUAGGUUUUCAGGAAGUACAGACUCACCUGUGAGUGCAUGCAGGCUCAGUUGCUCCAAUUGUGUCUGACUCUUUGCGACCCUGUGAACCUGCCAGACUUCUCUGUCCAUGAGAUUCUCCAGGCAAGAAUACUGGAGUUGGCAUCUGUGACUGACCACGUGGUUAAAGACUGAUAAGGACCCGCCAGAAAGGAAAGAGGGAAACCAGGACAUUGCUGUGACCCUGGGCACUUAGAGCAAACAGCUUCAACAAGGCAGUGGAGCAGAAGCCACUGGGGCAGAUGGAGGAGUGAAUGAAGGGGUGUGGCGGGGGAUGGAAGACCGCUUGUGCAGUCAACUCUUACGGGUGGCCGGAAAGAGAGAUUCUUCAUGGCACGAGCCACCAGGAGAGGGCAGUGUAAUGAGAAGGUAUCCAGCGCCAGACUGCCAAUGCAGGAGACAGGAGAUGCAGGUCCUUUGAGGUCUAAGACGCCCGCACAACAGCUCCCUACAGGGAGGUUGUGAGUGCGCAUCCUUGCCGGGGUGGGGAACGGGUGCCCGCUGGCUGAGGGCAUUCUUAGACGGGCACAGCGCAAGACAAGGUCGUCAGGGGCGAAAAGCCCGCAGAGGAGGUUUUAGCUCGGCCCGGGGAGGCCUGGCCCUGGCGCCUUAACCGCGCGGAGCCCCAGGCGCCCAGCCCUGAGCGGAGCCCUGGCGUUCCGGCAGCGCGUGGUGGACUCCGCGCCCCGCUGAGCCGCCAUCUGGGCCGGGCCGCGCGGAGCUGCGGCCUCUGGGGGCCGGGUGUGUG